GUCCUCGUGGAGCAAUGCAGCUCACUCCCACAAAAUACGGAAUGUUGCUACUGAUGCAGGGGAGAAAUGGCGGUUCGAAUCCGCCCGAGGACA